ACAACAUUUGAGCUAGCCUACCUCAGCUGUGACCUAUGAACAGCCUACCCAACCUAUCCAGCCCUGCUCAGAAGGAGCUGUACAGAGGGGCUGAGAAGAUGCUCUGAUACAAUGUACAAGUUUAUCAGGGAAGUUAUGAACAAUUGGAGUCAUUUGGAAACUCAGUAUUUAAGGCUGGAAAAUUUUGUUCACCCAUUGCUGCAAGCUGAAGUGACCUGUGGUUCAUUAUAUUGAUCCAAUCCCUCUACAUUGAGACUCGGCGUGGAGUCAAGCUUUUGAUCGAGCAAGAUAGUGCCUUUAUUUAUUAAAAGAUGGGAGAACAAGAGAGGAAGAAGAAAAGAGAAGAAAAGGAGAGGAAAAAAAAGAAGAGAAAAGGAAAGCAAGUCACAACUGUGGAUCCCAUGAUGUCCUGAAGCAUCAGAUGGACUUGUGUCUGUCUAAGCUUAGGAAAGAACCAGGACAAACUAAGCUGAGCAUUGCUGAAACAGAUAACUUAUUCAACGUGAACAGAGAGGAGAAUGAGGAAGAUGAGCUUGGAUUCACAUUUUAGCUAGCUGCAUUAAUUGUAUGAAGGAAGAAUACAAAUGAAUACAGCUGAUGAAGGAGGAUGGUGAGGA
rnacentral:lncRNA from 1 species